AUUAUCCGAGGGCAUAUAAUGAUAUAAUAAGAAACAACCAGAUGAGGGUAGCGGAUUCAUCGACUCCGCCGAAUUUCGAUCAUAGUUAUAGGCUCCUCCGCCACAUCAGAGUUGCAGUCCUCGUACCCAUCACCCAUCUCCCCAUUCUCUUUUCCUCCCCGACCCAAUCUGUACCUUCUUGUCUCUAUAUCCAUCUCUCUCUCUCUCUCUCUCUCUCUCUCUCUCUCUCUCUCUAUAUAUAUAUAUAUAUAUAUACACCCACUUCGUCUUUCUAUGCCCUCUCUUUGUUUCCGACGGCAACACUGUUAAUCCAACACCCAAAACAUAGAGAUUUGAAGAAAGAAGAGAAAAAGAUUGAGUCCCAGCAGAGAAACAGCUAGGGAUAUUUUGUUCCCCCUUGUUUCUCGUUGUGUUUGGGAAUCUAGGGUUUUUUUUUUUUUUUUUUUGUGAAACCCUAAGAAUUAAUUGAAGAGGGAGGGAGGGAGAGAGAGAGGUUUGAUGGCGCAAAAUGGGCAGGGGAUGGACCCUGCUGUUCUUGAUGACAUUAUAAAUCGGCUUUUGGAGUUUCGGCAAGCGAGGAGUGUACGCCAGGUCCAGGUCCAGGUCCAGCUCUCCGAGGCUGAGAUCCGUCAGCUUUGCACCGUUUCGAGAGAAAUCUUCCUCCAGCAACCCAAUCUCUUAGAGCUCGAAGCCCCCAUCAAGAUCUGCGGUGAUAUUCAUGGGCAAUAUGGUGAUCUUUUGAGGCUUUUUGAAUAUGGGGGUUUUCCUCCUGAAGCUAACUACUUGUUCCUAGGGGACUAUGUGGACCGUGGCAAGCAGAGUUUGGAAACAAUAUGCCUUCUGCUUGCCUAUAAAAUUAAAUACCCUGAGAACUUCUUCCUUUUAAGGGGAAAUCAUGAAUGUGCUUCUAUUAACCGGAUAUAUGGAUUUUAUGAUGAAUGUAAGCGGCGGUUUAAUGUGAGACUCUGGAGAAUCUUUACUGAGUGUUUUAACUGUCUUCCUGUGGCUGCUCUCAUAGACGACAAAAUAUUUUGCAUGCAUGGUGGCCUUUCCCCUGAACUAACAAACUUGGAUGAGAUAAGAAACUUACCUCGUCCAACUGAUGUUCCAGACUCCGGUUUGCUCUGUGAUUUACUCUGGUCAGAUCCUAGUAGGGAGGUCAAAGGUUGGGGAAUCAAUGAUAGAGGAGUUUCGUACACCUUUGGCCCUGAUAAGGUGGCAGAAUUUUUAAUUCAGCACGAUAUGGACCUUGUUUGUCGUGCCCAUCAGGUUGUGGAGGAUGGGUAUGAGUUCUUUGCUGACAGAAUGCUUGUUACGAUAUUCUCUGCCCCAAAUUAUUGCGGUGAAUUUGAUAAUGCUGGUGCAAUGAUGAGUGUUGAUGAAAGCUUAAUGUGCUCUUUCCAGAUUUUGAAGCCAUCGGACAAAAAGCAUAGGUUCUAAUGAACAAAGAUGUGAGAACUGCAGUCUUGAUUCUGAAUUUCUAAGAAUGUCAUUGGAGGGGAUUGAGAAUGGACUCCUUGUGCCAAACGUUUUCCUGCCCAUUUGUGAGUUGGGGAGGAACACUUAAAGAUGCUGGCUCGGAUGGCGUAUUGUUGUGUUAUCCAUGUAGAAGGGCAUUAAACAUUUUGCUGAAGUAUUGUGUUUUAGGGUGAAAGUUUAGCAACCUCUUGAUUUGGCAGCAACUGUUUUCUGGGGGUGUCCACAAGUGCCGAUAGUGUUCCAUCCUUUAAUUUUUUUUUUUUAAACCAGUGCAAUUUACAGUGGCCAUCUGAUUUAUUUUCUAUUGUAAAUUGCUCUGCACUUAUAGAUUGUAGAAACCAUUUUUAAGAUUUCUUUUCUUCACAAGUUAUUGUAAUGGAUCCCCCAAUUGAUGGUUUACUUGUGAACGCAUUGAACAUAAGUUUUAAAGCUGCCUAUUUCUUUUUGUUGGGAGGUGGUGUUUCUUGGUGAGGGUUUUGUUGUACCGGAAAAUUAAAGAUGGCUUGAAUUCAUGAGA